UUUCUUUAAAAGAACUCAUGUCAUUAAGUUCGAUUACCUCUUAAAAUUUUGUCAUAACCGGCCCUCUGCAGGCUACCACAUAGAGCUGCUUACCUUUAAUACUCCGUUAUUGUACCUAAGUCCUGCAAGGUCCAGGGCUAAUAGAUUCUUCCGUGGGAUACUCACAAACGCAGCUCAAAACUAACUAUAUUUAUUGUAUAGCACAUAAGCAAGCGCAAUAACUAGACACAAAAGCAAUAUUAAAACAUCAAAAUAAUCUUCCUUACUGUACUCUAUACUCAACUCCAAUUACAGCUUCCUUACUUCCUCAGUUACUCAUAUCAUGACAUUUAGCACACGAACAAGUUACCCAUAUAACACCUGUAACAUCAUAACAUUACGUACUAUACCACUAAUUCAGUGAUCACUACAUGCAAAGGACCACAAAAAUAACUUAAAAUAAUACAGUUUACAUCACGAGACCACAAAGCACCCAUGAAAAUUUUCUAAGUAUUACUUACGUAUAAGACAAGGCAGAGGACUAUCAAAGGUUUCAUGGCAACUAAGUGGGCCUUUUUUUGCUCUUUCUGUUGCCCUUGGGCAACUUUCCCCUAUUACAUAUAAAAGAAAAAAAAUUGCAGUAUGACUAAUUGAUUGACUAAUCAAAAAUGUUAAGUAUCGCAACAUCGUGGUCAUAAGGUUCUGCAGUGUAUCAUCUGCAUCAAAGGCAAAUGUAUACCAGAGUUUGCAUGGAGUUGUGUGAAAUCUAACAACAUAAGAAAAUAACAAAGUUGUUGCUAGAAGCCUACACGUGGCAUCCCCAGUACGAAACUUACCUACCUAUUCGCUAUUUUCUCUAUCGUCCCCAUCUACAAAUUUGUCUAAUCUUAUUUUAAACUUCCUUAAUGACUCAGCAACAACAACCUGAUUAUUGAGUCAAUCACUCAUUUACUACUCUAUUUGAGAGUUAAUUUCAUCCCAUCUCUUUUUCUAGGUUUAACAAUCUUGAAUUCUUUAUUUCUUGCUAUAUAUUGAUUGCUGAUCUUGGAAUCUUGCUUACGUCACCUUUGUUGUCUUCUUUGUCCCACAUAUGUUUUUCAUGUCAUUUGUUACCAGAAACCCUGUAGCACAAGUUUACCUAUCACAGUAUCUUAAACUCCUUUCCUUCAGGAAAGGAGUUUAAGAUACUGUGGUAGGUUAACUUGUGGAAACUCUUCUUUAUUGUUUUUUUGUUUUUGUUUUUCAUUUUUAGGCAAUCAAUUAUUUUUUGUCUUUAGUCUGUCUUCUUCACACAAACGAACAAAUGAAAGGAUGAAAAAAACAUAAAACAAAAGGCAUUCACGAGACUUCAAGUGACGCCAUACACUUCCACAAUAACAAGCACUGUAGAAAUUAUGAAUACUGAGAUACUUUCACCGUUGGCUUCUUGCAUCGGUGAUUUUUUUAAGCGUCAAACUACAUGUACCAGAGAUGAGAGAGAGAGAGAGAGAGAGAGAGAGAGAGAGAGAGAGAGAGAGAGAGAGAGAGAGAGAGAGAGAGAGAGAGAGAGAGAGAGAGAGAGAGAGAGAGAGAGAGAGAGAGAGAGAGAGAGAGAGAGAGAGAGAGAGAGAGAGAGAGAGAACCUUGGCCGGAAAUGAGUGAGGCAUACACCAACAUACAAGUGUAUCUUGAGAGCAAUUAAAAUGUACACCAAAGCGUAUUAGUCUUAUCUACAGAGACAAAACAUUAACAGAGGCAGGAAUUCCCCAAUCUUAUGUUUGAUACUCGUACCUGUAUAUCACCGGUAUGGACCUUACCCCAUAGUCUCUCUCUCUCUCUCUCUCUCUCUCUCUCUCUCUCUUUGUUGUUUGUUCCUUCAAAUGACCGGAAGUAAAGAUAUUAAUAUUUCAAAACAGGUUGUUGUUUUUUUCACGUAACCCAAUCUACUAAUAUAUACCUAUCAGACUCCUCUUUUUUGUUCAAGGUAUGAUGAUAAUGUUUAUCUCUUAUCACCUUCUAAUAGCAUUGAGGCGACAGCAUUUGACUUUUUUGUGUUUCCUUUACUGAUAACAAAAUAGAAUUACUGAAGUGUUUGGCAUUAAGAAAUAUUAAAGAGAAGAAAGAGCUUAUGGCACCAUACGGUAUGUAUAUUUGUUUAGAAAACGAGACGAAUAGAACAGAAUCCAUCUUUUAUAUCUAAACUAUUCCUGAUCCAACUUAAGUUAUUUUUCUGAAGUGGAAUUUUACCGUGUUAUUGGACGUGACUUUCAUCACAAAGAAGACAUGGCAACUCAUUUUGUCCAAUCCCCGGCUGGGAGUCGCUGCACGAUUGGAUACUUAUAAGCCUGUUUUUUCAACUUUGUCGCAGUCACACGUGGCACAGAGAUGGGUGACAUCCUUGAUACUGACUGUGGCAACUGUUGUUGUUGUAACUGUGACAGCAACUGUUGCUGCUGCUGCUGCGAUUGUAACAUUGAAUGUUGUAAUGGUUUCUUCAUUGGUUAUGAGAGUGAUAUUUGCUGUGUCUGCGACGAGGCAAAAGAUAUAGCAGAUGAAACUCGCCAGAGGAAAAAAGAGAAGAGAGAAGUGGUGACCAACCAACCUGCGGCCACACCUCUUUUCUUCACCACCGCCGGUCCUUCGUGAGGAUCGUCAGGCUUCAUUUAAAAUUUACUCCAUUAUUUAUAUUUACUUUUGUUCAACUACAGCGCCGCCUUUGCUUAGCAUGUUUGUGUCUUAUGUAGUUUUAUAAUUACAGCAUUACAGAAUCGCAAGCUGUACUUUAAUUAAUAUUUUGUAGGUGCGUACAGUCAACAUGGUUAUACAAAAUAUGUAAUAGAGAAAUAAAAUAAAUUAAUCAAAUAAUGAGGGCUACAUUAUGUAGAACACAGCUACAAACACUUCAGACACGCACGAGAGAGAGAGAGAGAGAGAGAGAGAGAGAGAGAGAGAGAGAGAGAGAGAGAGAGAAUUUUGAAACUCUUAAUGAUGAAACAUUUCCUGGAGAACAGGAAAUCUUGCGUCUUAAGUGUGACAAUGGUUUUUAUGUAUGUUAAUGAUAAGCAGCAGUAGUUAUCUAAUCACGAGAGACUCCUUGACACACACAUGUGACUUCCAGUCUACUGCAUCACAGAGGAUAGAUCAGUUUUGAUCUUUACUCAAAACUGAAAAUCAAAUGUUGACGUCACUUUUUGAGUCUUUAGGAAUUACUCGACGGUCAUUACCAUUGACUUUAUUUCUAACUUCAGAGUUGCCUAAUUCUAUCCUGUUAGCUUUGUGUACGCUCUAUGUAUACUGGUAAAAUAAAAAAAAAAUCAAAUGAUUUAUGAAAUUGUCUGUCUGGGUCAAUCGAUUGUUGGCAGGCCUGUUUGCUUCAUGGAAAUUGUCGCCGUAUGUAGGGGAUCUAUGCUCCUGCUUGGCAACUUUCAUACCAGUAGUACCGUACCAAUGUAUCGUGUCAUUUUCCAUAAAUAAUAUUCCAUAUCUCAUGCUUUCUCACACUAUUACA